CGGACUUCGGUCUGGUGGCGAGUGGCGAACGGGUGAGUAAUGUAUCGGAACGUGCCCAGUAGCGGGGGAUAACUACGCGAAAGCGUAGCUAAUACCGCAUACGCCCUACGGGGGAAAGCAGGGGAUCGCAAGACCUUGCACUAUUGGAGCGGCCGAUAUCGGAUUAGCUAGUUGGUGGGGUAACGGCUCACCAAGGCGACGAUCCGUAGCUGGUUUGAGAGGACGACCAGCCACACUGGGACUGAGACACGGCCCAGACUCCUACGGGAGGCAGCAGUGGGGAAUUUUGGACAAUGGGGGAAACCCUGAUCCAGCCAUCCCGCGUGUGCGAUGAAGGCCUUCGGGUUGUAAAGCACUUUUGGCAGGAAAGAAACGUCGCGGGUUAAUACCUCGCGAAACUGACGGUACCUGCAGAAUAAGCACCGGCUAACUACGUGCCAGCAGCCGCGGUAAUACGUAGGGUGCAAGCGUUAAUCGGAAUUACUGGGCGUAAAGCGUGCGCAGGCGGUUCGGAAAGAAAGAUGUGAAAUCCCAGAGCUUAACUUUGGAACUGCAUUUUUAACUACCGGGCUAGAGUGUGUCAGAGGGAGGUGGAAUUCCGCGUGUAGCAGUGAAAUGCGUAGAUAUGCGGAGGAACACCGAUGGCGAAGGCAGCCUCCUGGGAUAACACUGACGCUCAUGCACGAAAG
rnacentral:rRNA from 1 species